CCUACGGGAGGCAGCAGUAGGGAAUUUUCGUCAAUGGGCGCAAGCCUGAACGAGCGAUGCCGCGUGAGUGAAGAAGGCCUUCGGGUCGUAAAGCUCUGUUGCGGGGGAAAAAAGGCAGCAUCAGGAAAUGGGUGCUGACUGAUGGUGCGCCGCCAGAAAGUCACGGCUAAUUACGUGCCAGCAGCCGCGGCAAUACGUAGGUGGCGAGCGUUAUCCGGAAGGAUUGGGCGUAAAGGGUGCGCAGGCGGUCUUGCAAGUCUGGAGUGAAACGCAUGGGCUCAACUCAUGCAUGGCUUUGGAAACUGGAGGACUGGAGAGCAGGAGAGGGCGGUGGAACUCCAUGUGUAGCGGUAAAAUGCGUAGAUAUAUGGAAGAACACCAGUGGCGAAGGCGGCCGCCUGGCCUGUUGCUGACGCUGAGGCACGAAAGCGUGGGUAGCGAACGGGAUUAGAUACCCUGGUAGUC
rnacentral:rRNA from 1 species